rnacentral:rRNA from 1 species
AUGGCCCAGGUGGACGCCUGCAAUGGCCUCCUUCUCUACCGCAGCAGCAACAAUAAGUUGGCCCAUUUGAACUGGAAUUGGGUAGAGGACAAUUUCCGUUUUUUCGUGUGCAAUCCCCUCACCGGGGGGUGGUUGGAGGAUAGUGGGAUGGUUGAGAAUGUGAUGUUGUUCUAUCUUACUAGAUGUGUAUUUGUUGGUGGUAUCAUGUACCUGAUGGGCAUUCAUAAAGGCAUCAACCAAGAGAAUGUGCUGGUGGGGGUGGACAAGGAGGUGAAAGUGUGGAAGAUUAUCCGCGUGCAGUACAGUUCAAGAGAUGGCACGUUUGGAUCAUCGCAGGGGUGCUUACACUUUGCUAUAGCUUCUUCCAUUGAUAAGAUUGAAGUCUGGUGCCUCAAGGAUUGUGACAGUAACGAAUUUGUCCUGAAGAAUACCACCAGCAUCGAUAAGCUUACGAGCAUGACUAUGAAGUGGUACAGUGUGGCUAAGAUUCAUCCAGAUUGCAACACCAUUUUCCUGGUUUCAUGGGAAGGUCAUAUCUUGGCAACUUGA